AGUCUCUGCACGAAUAUUUUUUUCAAACUUUUUUGAUGCACGUAUAUUUUUUUUCUUUCUGUAUCCCCUGCGCGAUUUUUAUUUUUGCCCCCCCCAUCACUUUUCUAAUGGUCCGCCCCUAAUGCAUAUUUGGGUGUGUAUUCAUAUAAUUUUUUAGCAUGCCUGACAUGCAUGGGAUCUGGGUGCUCGCCUGCGAGUAGCCCGCUGGUUGCAGGCAGGUAUUUUACAGUUGUGUAUAUUAUAAAACGAUCAGUAUUAGGUAUACUAAACAAUGUCCACCUAUUAUUAAUACCGUUAUUGUGAUGGGUUUAUUAACUUUUUAAAUCAUG